UGGCAGACGGGUGAGUAACAUGUAGGUAUCUUCCCUUUGGUGAGGAAUAACACGAGGAAACUUGUGCUAAUACCUCAUAAGUCUUUACGGAGAAAGCUUUAUGCGCCAAAGGAUGAGCCUGCACUUGAUUAGUUUGUUGGUGGGGUAAUGGCUUACCAAGACUUUGAUCAAUAGCUGAUCUGAGAGGAUGAUCAGCCACAUUGGGACUGAGACACGGCCCAAACUCCUACGGGAGGCAGCAGUAGGGAAUAUUGCACAAUGGAGGAAACUCUGAUGCAGCGAUGCCGCGUGAGUGAAGAAGGCCUUUGGGUUGUAAAGCUCUUUCGUCGGGGAAGAAAAUGACUGUACCCGAAUAAGAAGGUCCGGCUAACUUCGUGCCAGCAGCCGCGGUAAUACGAAGGGACCUAGCGUAGUUCGGAAUUACUGGGCUUAAAGAGUUCGUAGGUGGUUGAAAAAGUUGGUGGUGAAAUCCCAGAGCUUAACUCUGGAACUGCCAUCAAAACUUUUCAGCUAGAGUUUGAUAGAGGAAAGCAGAAUUUCUAGUGUAGAGGUGAAAUUCGUAGAUAUUAGAAAGAAUACCAAUUGCGAAGGCAGCUUUCUGGAUCAUUACUGACACUGAGGAACGAAAGCAUGGGUAGCGAAGAGGAUUA
rnacentral:rRNA from 1 species